AUAAUGCGUGGAAAGCAAUCUGCACUGCACCCUGCAGGAAAGGAAGCUGCUGUUCCUGUUCGCAUGUGCCAGGCAGUUACUGUGGAGAUGUACGCUUCAUUAAAACACCGCCAUCUUCACCAGGCUGCAGAGAUACCAGUGUUACUGCACAGCUGAGAUGAGGAGCUGACUGAUCCUGUUGGGAGGACCUGGAGAUGAUUCAUGGGCAGCGGCUGUGCCUGCAGUUCCUCCAGCUCCCACCAGAACUGCUUCUUCAGCUUCACUGAAUCUUGGGUUUAUGAGCAAUUCCAUGGUGAAGUGCACCAGCUCUUCUGCAGGUCAUCUUCAUCAUCAGAGCUUCAUCAUCAGAGCUUCAUCAUCAGAGCUGGAGUGUUGGAGCUGAGAGGCUGACGUGGAAGACAUCAGUUUCAGUCCAUCCACAGGAGUUCCAUCUCCUCCCUGCAGGUGCAGCUCAUGCCUACCCUCUCCCACUGCACAUCCAUCUGCCAGCACUGCUGACUUCAGGCCCACUCCUGGACACAGGGGCAGCAAGUUGCAGCUCUCAUAACAAUGUGUAUCCUAAUCUCUUUAAUAAAUUUCUUGUUUUGCUCAA